rnacentral:rRNA from 1 species
CUAGCUGUAAACGAUGGAUACUAGGCGUUGAGAGUAUCGACCCUCUCAGUGUCGUAGCUAACGCGUUAAGUAUACCCGCCUGGGGAGUACGCGCGCAAGCGUGAAACUCAAAGGAAUUGACGGGGGCCCGCACAAGCGGUGGAGUAUGUGGUUUAAUUCGAUGCAACGCGAAGAACCUUACCAGGGCUUGACAUGUCCGGAACCCUGCCCAAAGGCGGGGGUGCCUACGGGAACCGGAACACAGGUGGUGC